GAUGAAGAACGCAGCGAAAUGCGAUAACUAAUGUGAAUUGCAGAAUUCCGUGAAUCAUCGAGUCUUUGAACGCACAUUGCGCCCCCUGGUAUUCCGGGGGGCAUGCCUGUCCGAGCGUCAUUGCUGCCCUCAAGCACGGCUUGUGUGUUGGGCCGUCGUCCCCCUCCUAGGGGACGGGCCCGAAAGGCAGCGGCGGCACCGCGUCCGGUCCUCGAGCGUAUGGGGCUUCGUCACCCGCUCCGUAGGCCCGGCCGGCGCUUGCCGACGACCAUCAAUCUCUUUCUCCAGGUUGACCUCGGAUCAGGUAGGGAUACCCGCUGAACUUAAGCAUAUCAAUAAGCGGAGGA
rnacentral:misc_RNA from 1 species